CCUACGGGAGGCUGCAGUGAGGAAUAUUGGUCAAUGGACGCAAGUCUGAACCAGCCAUGCCGCGUGCAGGAAGACGGCUCUAUGAGUUGUAAACUGCUUUUGUACGAGGGUAAACGCAGAUACGCGUAUCUGUCUGAAAGUAUCGUACGAAUAAGGAUCGGCUAACUCCGUGCCAGCAGCCGCGGUAAUACGGAGGAUUCAAGCGUUAUCCGGAUUUAUUGGGUUUAAAGGGUGCGUAGGCGGUCGGAUAAGUUAGAGGUGAAAUCCCGGGGCUCAACUUCGGAAUUGCCGCUGAUACUGUUCGGCGAGAGAGUAGUUGCGGUAGGCGGAAUGUAUGGUGUAGCGGUGAAAUGCUUAGAGAUCAUACAGAACACCGAUUGCGAAGGCAGCUUACCAAGCUACUUCUGACGUUGAGGCACGAAAGCGUGGGGAGCAAACAGGAUUAGAUACCCCAGUAGUC
rnacentral:rRNA from 1 species